UACGGGGGGGGCAAGCGUUGUUCGGAAUUACUGGGCGUAAAGGGCUCGUAGGCGGCCAACUAAGUCAGACGUGAAAUCCCUCGGCUUAACCGGGGAACUGCGUCUGAUACUGGAUGGCUUGAGGUUGGGAGAGGGAUGCGGAAUUCCAGGUGUAGCGGUGAAAUGCGUAGAUAUCUGGAGGAACACCGGUGGCGAAGGCGGCAUCCUGGACCAAUUCUGACGCUGAGUGAGCGAAAGCCAGGGGAGCAAACGGG
rnacentral:rRNA from 1 species